UACGGGGGGGGUAAGCGUUGUUCGGAAUCAUUGGGCGUAAAGGGCGCGUAGGCGGCUUUGUAAGUCCGUUGUGAAAUCCCUCGGCUCAACCGAGGAACUGCGACGGAUACUGCUUGGCUUGAGUCCCGGAGAGGGUAGCGGAAUUCCCAGUGUAGCGGUGAAAUGCGUAGAUAUUGGGAGGAACAUCGGUGGCGAAGGCGGCUACCUGGACGGGUACUGACGCUGAUGCGCGAAAGCUAGGGGAGCAAACAGG
rnacentral:rRNA from 1 species